rfam:Lepisosteus oculatus linkage group LG11, whole genome shotgun sequence.
AACAGCAGCCAUAUCACUCUGCAACUCACUGAAGCUAAGCAAGUUUGAGCCUGGUCAGUACCUGGAUCGGAGACCUCCUGGGAAAAACUAAGGUUCCUGCUGGAA